rnacentral:rRNA from 1 species
GACGAACGCUGGCGGCGUGCUUAACACAUGCAAGUCGAACGGAAAGGCCCUGCUUUUGUGGGGUGCUCGAGUGGCGAACGGGUGAGUAACGCGUGAGUAACCUGCCCUUGACUUUGGGAUAACUUCAGGAAACUGGGGCUAAUACCGGAUAGGAGCUCCUGCUGCAUGGUGGGGGUUGGAAAGUUUCGGCGGUUGGGGAUGGACUCGCGGCUUAUCAGCUUGUUGGUGGGGUAGUGGCUUACCAAGGCUUUGACGGGUAGCCGGCCUGAGAGGGUGACCGGCCACAUUGGGACUGAGAUACGGCCCAGACUCCUACGGGAGGGAGCAGGGGGGAAUAUUGCACAAUGGGCGGAAGCCUGAUGCAGCAACGCCGCGGGCGGGAUGACGGCCUUCGGGGUGUAAACCGCUUUCGCCUGUGACGAAGGGUGAGUGACGGUAAUGGGUAAAGAAGCACCGGCUAACUACGUG